rnacentral:lncRNA from 1 species
GGGUCAGUCCCACUAGUGUGCAUUCUAUUUUCAUUGCCGCUAAACAUGGGUCAGUCCCACUAGUGUGCACUUUAUUUUCAUCCCCACUGAACAUGGGUCAGUCCCACCAGUGUGCACGUCAUUUUUGUUCGGGUCAGUCCCAUGAUUUUAAAUUUUGUUCGGGCCAGUCCCAUGAUUUUAAAUCUUAUUCGGGCCAGUCCCAUGAUUUUAAACUUUAUUCGGGUCAGUCCCAUGAUUUUAAAUCUUAUUCGGGUCGGUCCCAU